GAUUGUUUUCUUUUCUUUUU
rnacentral:miRNA from 1 species